AUUGAACGCUGGCGGCAGGCCUAACACAUGCAAGUCGAGCGGUAGCACAGAGAGCUUGCUCUCGGGUGACGAGCGGCGGACGGGUGAGUAAUGUCUGGGAAACUGCCUGAUGGAGGGGGAUAACUACUGGAAACGGUAGCUAAUACCGCAUAAUGUCGCAAGACCAAAGUGGGGGACCUUCGGGCCUCAUGCCAUCAGAUGUGCCCAGAUGGGAUUAGCUAGUAGGUGGGGUAACGGCUCACCUAGGCGACGAUCCCUAGCUGGUCUGAGAGGAUGACCAGCCACACUGGAACUGAGACACGGUCCAGACUCCUACGGGAGGCAGCAGUGGGGAAUAUUGCACAAUGGGCGCAAGCCUGAUGCAGCCAUGCCGCGUGUGUGAAGAAGGCCUUCGGGUUGUAAAGCACUUUCAGCGGGGAGGAAGGCGUUAAGGUUAAUAACCUUGGCGAUUGACGUUACCCGCAGAAGAAGCACCGGCUAACUCCGUGCCAGCAGCCGCGGUAAUACGGAGGGUGCAAGCGUUAAUCGGAAUUACUGGGCGUAAAGCGCACGCAGGCGGUCUGUCAAGUCGGAUGUGAAAUCCCCGGGCUCAACCUGGGAACUGCAUUCGAAACUGGCAGGCUAGAGUCUUGUAGAGGGGGGGUAGAAUUCCAGGUGUAGCGGUGAAAUGCGUAGAGAUCUGGAGGAAUACCGGUGGCGAAGGCGGCCCCCUGGACAAAGACUGACGCUCAGGUGCGAAAGCGUGGGGAGCAAACAGGAUUAGAUACCCUGGUAGUCCACGCCGUAAACGAUGUCGAUUUGGAGGUUGUGCCCUUGAGGCGUGGCUUCCGGAGCUAACGCGUUAAAUCGACCGCCUGGGGAGUACGGCCGCAAGGUUAAAACUCAAAUGAAUUGACGGGGGCCCGCACAAGCGGUGGAGCAUGUGGUUUAAUUCGAUGCAACGCGAAGAACCUUACCUGGUCUUGACAUCCACAGAACUUUCCAGAGAUGGAUUGGUGCCUUCGGGAACUGUGAGACAGGUGCUGCAUGGCUGUCGUCAGCUCGUGUUGUGAAAUGUUGGGUUAAGUCCCGCAACGAGCGCAACCCUUAUCCUUUGUUGCCAGCGGUUAGGCUGGGAACUCAAAGGAGACUGCCAGUGAUAAACUGGAGGAAGGUGGGGAUGACGUCAAGUCAUCAUGGCCCUUACGACCAGGGCUACACACGUGCUACAAUGGCAUAUACAAAGAGAAGCGACCUCGCGAGAGCAAGCGGACCUCAUAAAGUAUGUCGUAGUCCGGAUUGGAGUCUGCAACUCGACUCCAUGAAGUCGGAAUCGCUAGUAAUCGUAGAUCAGAAUGCUACGGUGAAUACGUUCCCGGGCCUUGUACACACCGCCCGUCACACCAUGGGAGUGGGUUGCAAAAGAGGUAGGUAGCUUAACCUUCGGGAGGGCGCUUACCACUUUGUGAUUCAUGACUGGGGUGA
rnacentral:rRNA from 1 species